rnacentral:rRNA from 1 species
ACAAUUCGGCGGCACGCUUAACACAUGCAAGUCGAACGCACCUUUCGGGGUGAGUGGCAGACGGGUGAGUAACGCGUGGGAACAUGCCCUUCAGUUCGGAAUAACCCAGGGAAACUUGGGCUAAUACCGGAUACGCCCUAACGGGGAAAGAUUUAUUGCUGAAGGAUUGGCCCGCGUCUGAUUAGCUAGUUGGUGAGGUAAAGGCUCACCAAGGCGACGAUCAGUAGCUGGUCUGAGAGGAUGAUCAGCCACACUGGGACUGAGACACGGCCCAGACUCCUACGGGAGGCAGCAGUGGGGAAUAUUGGACAAUGGGCGCAAGCCUGAUCCAGCCAUGCCGCGUGAGUGAUGAAGGCCUUAGGGUUGUAAAGCUCUUUCGGCGGGGACGAUAAUGACGGUACCCGCAGAAGAAGCCCCGGCUAACUUCGUGCCAGCAGCCGCGGUAAUACGAAGGGGGCUAGCGUUGUUCGGAAUCACUGGGCGUAAAGGGCGCGUAGGCGGCUUUAUAAGUCGGGGGUGAAAGCCUGUGGCUCAACCACAGAAUUGCCUUCGAUACUGUAGAGCUUGAGACCGGAAGAGUAAGUGGAACUGCGAGUGUAGAGUGAAAUUCGUAGAUAUUCGCAAGAACACCAGUGGCGAAGGCGACUUACUGGUCCGGUUCUGACGCUAAGGCCGAAAGCCUUGGGAACAAACAGGAUUAGAUACCCUGGUAGUCCACGCUGUAAACGAAGAAUGCCA